GCAGCGAAGAGUGAAAUUACGCAAAGUGUGGUUAUAAUAUAAUUUUCGGCAGCAUUUUUUAUAUUUUAUACAUAUUCCGAUAUUUAGUCCAUAAAAAUGGAUACUGAAGAGCAAUAUGAUUGGGAUAUGCUUGAAGUUGGAGAAAAAUGGCAUCAGUCCGAAAUACGAUCUAUAAUAGCACAUGUAAAGGCAAAUAAAUUCCUAAUUCAUAAAACCAAAAAAGAUUUUUCGAAUAAAGAAAAAAAGAUAACGCGUGGAAAAUAAUUGCUGUAUUACUGAAUAGAACAGAAAUAGAAGUGCAAAAGAAAUAGAAAUCGUUGAGAACUGUAUUCAGUCGUAAAUUAGCGCAAUUAAAGCAGAAAAUGCCGAGUGUGGAAGCGGAGUUAAUGUAAAAGAAAACUUACGAUUUGACUGGGAGUACUAGGGUGACAUGCAAUUUCUUAUACCAUAUAUGCGUCACAAAUGUAACAGAAUAUCAAAUUUGAUAAGACAUCACUUCCAGUUUCUUCUAAAAGUAGUGGAUAUUUUUGGCUUCUUCAAAAAAUGGACAAUCGAUUCUAAAAUUAGACGAAGGAACACAUGAAGAUACAGUCGAAAUUGAAUCAUUGCCUUUGCAGAAUGCAAAUUUAAUAUUUUCUAAUACUUCGAGUAUGUAAUGCAUAAAUUAUCAAUACAGUACAACUUCAAAGUC